rnacentral:tRNA from 1 species
GGUUCGGUGGUGUAGUUGGUUAUCACGUCAGUCUAACAUUCGUUAGUACACUGAAGGUCCCGAGUUCAAACCUCGGCUGAAUCA